rfam:Triticum aestivum genome assembly, contig: Triticum_aestivum_CS42_TGACv1_scaffold_320795_4BL
AAAGUACUCCCUCCGUCCCAAAACUCUUGUAUUAGAUUUGUCUAGAUACGGAUGUAUCAAGUCACAUUUUAGUAUUAGAUACAUCCGUAUCUAGACAAAUCUAAGACAAGAAUUUUGGGACGGAGGGAGUAGUUG